rnacentral:sRNA from 1 species
GCUGGGUGUGGUGGUGAGCACCUGUAAUCCAGUCACUUGGAAGGUUCAGGCAGGGGGAUGGCAAGUUUGAAGCCAGCCUCUGCAACUUAGCAAGAUCCUGUUUU